GCUGAUUCAACAGGGGUAACAUGAGAAUACAUGAAGGAGAUAAUAUCAAAGAGUCAUUCUAUUGUAGUAUCAGUGACAGUGUCUUCCAUGUGUUCUCAGGUCGCCCCUGCCGAAUCUUC